UACAGAGGUGGCAAGCGUUGUUCGGAAUUACUGGGCGUAAAGGGCGCGUAGGCGGCCCGUCAAGUCCCGUGUGAAAGCCCCCGGCUCAACCGGGGAACGGCGCGGGAAACUAGCAGGCUUGAGUUCGGGAGAGGGAAGCGGAAUUCCGGGUGUAGCGGUGAAAUGCGUAGAUAUGCGGAGGAACACCGAUGGCGAAGGCAAUCCCCUGGGCCUGCACUGACGCUCAUGCACGAAAGCGUGGGGAGCAAACAGG
rnacentral:rRNA from 1 species